rnacentral:rRNA from 1 species
CAGCAGCCACGGUAAUACGAAGGGGGCUAGCGUUGUUCGGAAUUACUGGGCGUAAAGCGCACGUAGGCGGCUUUGUAAGUUAGAGGUGAAAGCCUGGAGCUCAACUCCAGAAUUGCCUUUAAGACUGCAUCGCUUGAAUCCGGGAGAGGUGAGUGGAAUUCCGAGUGUAGAGGUGAAAUUCGUAGAUAUUCGGAAGAACACCAGUGGCGAAGGCGGCUCACUGGACCGGCAUUGACGCUGAGGUGCGAAAGCGUGGGGAGCAAACAGGAUUAGAUACCCCCGUAGUCCCUGUCUCUUAUAC